AUUGAACGCUGGCGGCAUGCCUUACACAUGCAAGUCGAACGGCAGCACGGGAGCAAUCCUGGUGGCGAGUGGCGAACGGGUGAGUAAUAUAUCGGAACGUGCCCAGUCGUGGGGAUAACGUAGCGAAAGCUACGCUAAUACCGCAUACGAUCUAUGGAUGAAAGCGGGGGAUCGCAAGACCUCGCGCGAUUGGAGCGGCCGAUAUCAGAUUAGGUAGUUGGUGAGGUAAAGGCUCACCAAGCCGACGAUCUGUAGCUGGUCUGAGAGGACGACCAGCCACACUGGGACUGAGACACGGCCCAGACUCCUACGGGAGGCAGCAGUGGGGAAUUUUGGACAAUGGGCGCAAGCCUGAUCCAGCAAUGCCGCGUGCAGGAAGAA
rnacentral:rRNA from 1 species